rnacentral:rRNA from 1 species
GGGUUGUGAGGUUAAGCGACUAAGCGUACACGGUGGAUGCCCUGGCAGUCAGAGGCGAUGAAGGACGUGCUAAUCUGCGAUAAGCGUCGGUAAGGUGAUAUGAACCGUUAUAACCGGCGAUUUCCGAAUGGGGAAACCCAGUGUGAUUCGUCACACUAUCAUUAACUGAAUCCAUAGGUUAAUGAGGCGAACCGGGGGAACUGAAACAUCUAAGUACCCCGAGGAAAAGAAAUCAACCGAGAUUCCCCCAGUAGCGGCGAGCGAACGGGGAGCAGCCCAGAGCCUGAAUCAGUGUGUGUGUUAGUGGAAGCGUCUGGAAAGGCGCGCGAUACAGGGUGACAGCCCCGUACACAAAAAUGCACAUACUGUGAGCUCGAUGAGUAGGGCGGGACACGUGGUAUCCUGUCUGAAUAUGGGGGGACCAUCCUCCAAGGCUAAAUACUCCUGACUGACCGAUAGUGAACCAGUACCGUGAGGGAAAGGCGAAAAGAACCCCGGCGAGGGGAGUGAAAAAGAACCUGAAACCGUGUACGUACAAGCAGUGGGAGCACAGAGCAAUCUGUGUGACUGCGUACCUUUUGUAUAAUGGGUCAGCGACUUAUAUUCUGUAGCAAGGUUAACCGAAUAGGGGAGCCGAAGGGAAACCGAGUCUUAACUGGGCGUUAAGUUGCAGGGUAUAGACCCGAAACCCGGUGAUCUAGCCAUGGGCAGGUUGAAGGUUGGGUAACACUAACUGGAGGACCGAACCGACUAAUGUUGAAAAAUUAGCGGAUGACUUGUGGCUGGGGGUGAAAGGCCAAUCAAACCGGGAGAUAGCUGGUUCUCCCCGAAAGCUAUUUAGGUAGCGCCUCGUGAAUUCAUCUCCGGGGGUAGAGCACUGUUUCGGCAAGGGGGUCAUCCCGACUUACCAACCCGAUGCAAACUGCGAAUACCGGAGAAUGUUAUCACGGGAGACACACGGCGGGUGCUAACGUCCGUCGUGAAGAGGGAAACAACCCAGACCGCCAGCUAAGGUCCCAAAGUCAUGGUUAAGUGGGAAACGAUGUGGGAAGGCCCAGACAGCCAGGAUGUUGGCUUAGAAGCAGCCAUCAUUUAAAGAAAGCGUAAUAGCUCACUGGUCGAGUCGGCCUGCGCGGAAGAUGUAACGGGGCUAAACCAUGCACCGAAGCUGCGGCAGCGACGCUGAUGCGUUGUUGGGUAGGGGAGCGUUCUGUAAGCCUGCGAAGGUGUGCUGUGAGGCAUGCUGGAGGUAUCAGAAGUGCGAAUGCUGACAUAAGUAACGAUAAAGCGGGUGAAAAGCCCGCUCGCCGGAAGACCAAGGGUUCCUGUCCAACGUUAAUCGGGGCAGGGUGAGUCGACCCCUAAGGCGAGGCCGAAAGGCGUAGUCGAUGGGAAACAGGUUAAUAUUCCUGUACUUGGUGUUACUGCGAAGGGGGGACGGAGAAGGCUAUGUUGGCCGGGCGACGGUUGUCCCGGUUUAAGCGUGUAGGCUGGUUUUCCAGGCAAAUCCGGAAAAUCAAGGCUGAGGCGUGAUGACGAGGCACUACGGUGCUGAAGCAACAAAUGCCCUGCUUCCAGGAAAAGCCUCUAAGCAUCAGGUAACAUCAAAUCGUACCCCAAACCGACACAGGUGGUCAGGUAGAGAAUACCAAGGCGCUUGAGAGAACUCGGGUGAAGGAACUAGGCAAAAUGGUGCCGUAACUUCGGGAGAAGGCACGCUGAUAUGUAGGUGAAGUCCCUCGCGGAUGGAGCUGAAAUCAGUCGAAGAUACCAGCUGGCUGCAACUGUUUAUUAAAAACACAGCACUGUGCAAACACGAAAGUGGACGUAUACGGUGUGACGCCUGCCCGGUGCCGGAAGGUUAAUUGAUGGGGUCAGCGCAAGCGAAGCUCUUGAUCGAAGCCCCGGUAAACGGCGGCCGUAACUAUAACGGUCCUAAGGUAGCGAAAUUCCUUGUCGGGUAAGUUCCGACCUGCACGAAUGGCGUAAUGAUGGCCAGGCUGUCUCCACCCGAGACUCAGUGAAAUUGAACUCGCUGUGAAGAUGCAGUGUACCCGCGGCAAGACGGAAAGACCCCGUGAACCUUUACUAUAGCUUGACACUGAACAUUGAGCCUUGAUGUGUAGGAUAGGUGGGAGGCUUUGAAGUGUGGACGCCAGUCUGCAUGGAGCCGACCUUGAAAUACCACCCUUUAAUGUUUGAUGUUCUAACGUUGACCCGUGAUCCGGGUUGCGGACAGUGUCUGGUGGGUAGUUUGACUGGGGCGGUCUCCUCCUAAAGAGUAACGGAGGAGCACGAAGGUUGGCUAAUCUUGGUCGGACAUCAGGAGGUUAGUGCAAUGGCAUAAGCCAGCUUGACUGCGAGCGUGACGGCGCGAGCAGGUGCGAAAGCAGGUCAUAGUGAUCCGGUGGUUCUGAAUGGAAGGGCCAUCGCUCAACGGAUAAAAGGUACUCCGGGGAUAACAGGCUGAUACCGCCCAAGAGUUCAUAUCGACGGCGGUGUUUGGCACCUCGAUGUCGGCUCAUCACAUCCUGGGGCUGAAGUAGGUCCCAAGGGUAUGGCUGUUCGCCAUUUAAAGUGGUACGCGAGCUGGGUUUAGAACGUCGUGAGACAGUUCGGUCCCUAUCUGCCGUGGGCGCUGGAGAACUGAGGGGGGCUGCUCCUAGUACGAGAGGACCGGAGUGGACGCAUCACUGGUGUUCGGGUUGUCAUGCCAAUGGCACUGCCCGGUAGCUAAAUGCGGAAGAGAUAAGUGCUGAAAGCAUCUAAGCACGAAACUUGCCCCGAGAUGAGUUCUCCCUGACUCCUUGAGAGUCCUGAAGGAACGUUGAAGACGACGACGUUGAUAGGCCGGGUGUGUAAGCGCAGCGAUGCGUUGAGCUAACCGGUACUAAUGAACCGUGAGGCUUAACCUUACAACGCCGAAGGUGUUU